CAGUGGCAUCAUCUCCCUCUCUCCUCACUUCCAAGCCAUUAGAAAUACAAGGGGAUUAAAGUUGCCAAAUCUUGGGUGGCAGACUGCCCUUUUGGAAGGACCUAUUGUUCCAAUCUAAUCUCGAAACAUAUUUUCCAGCCCCUGUUAAUACACUGUCAGUCAUGAAAAUGAACAACCUCUGGGCCAAGUUCUAUAUACUAUGGGGAAUCUCAGGUGGUCCUUCCUGGCUUCUAUUAAAUUUGCUCCCCAUCUCUGCUUCCUCAAGCCCAUUAGGAAGGGAGUUCAUCACAGCUUUCAUGCAGAACGGCUUGCCACGAAUGUUCAAGGGAGAUUUUAAACUACUCAUCACAGGCUAUGCUCCUGCCACAUCCAUUAAUGUCUCAAUGAAGCGGCCUGCAUUGAGGGUUGGGGUUAAGGUAAAUGCUGGCCAAACGGUAUCUGUGAAAAUCCCACCAGAGGCAGAGAUGGUUGGAAGUGGCAUUUUUGACAACACACUCACUGUCCGGGCCGACAAAGAUAUCUCCAUCCUCUCUCUUAACUACAAACCACACACAGCUGACACCACCGUUAUCUAUCCUGUGGUGAGCUUAGGUACGGAAUAUUAUGCCAUCACUCCAAAUGUGGGCACAGAUCGCUACAGAGAAGUUGCCAUCAUAGCAUGGGAAGAACCCACAUCUGUUGAUAUCUACCCGAAAGGAGCUGUUACUUUUCAAGGGAAAAACUACCUUCGAGGAAGCAAGUUGACUGUCACACUUCAGCCUUAUCAAGCUGUCCAGCUACAAAGCUCAGUAGACCUCUCUGGCACUAAGAUAGUUUCCCAAAAACCUGUGGCUGUCUACAGUGGGCACACCUGUGUUUCUCGGCAAGUCCAGUGUGACCAUGUUUUUGAACAACUUUUACCUGUUUCCAGUUGGGGUGCCAACUUCAUUGUUCCUUCUUUGCCCUUUAAUACAGAGCAUGACAUUGUGUAUGUUUCCACUUCCCAAAAUACUCGCGUUGAUGCUCAGACUGGGCAAAGCAAGAGCAGCCGGAAUUUGCCUGCUGCCCGGUCAGUGCUGUAUGGCAUUCAAGGUACAACUGCUAUGUCACUCUCAGCUAGUUCUGGCAUCCAGGUAAUGUUCUUUAAUGAUGGUGGCACCUACCAGAACUUUAAAUAUGAUCCCUUCUUCAUGGCAAUCCCAGACAUUUCUAGCUACUGUCAGGCCUACCACAUCUAUGGGCAUGACCAGUUUGACAACUAUGCGUUGAUCAUUGCCAAAUCUUCUGAAACUUCUGGGAUCACCUUGGAUAAAAGACCUUUGCAGGGUCUCCAAUGGAAUCUGGUUGCUGGUACUGAAUACUCCUGGGCUUCCCACAGCAUAGGCCAAGGUUAUACCGUUCACAUGAUGGAGCACCCUAGUACCCCCUUCGGGCUGCUAAGCGUUGGCAUUGGAAAUGAGAAAGCUUACGGCUCCCCUGCUAUUUGCGCCAAUGAUCCUUGCGCAGCACUUCAGUGCCGGCCAAAGGAGACAUGUGAGAUUCAGAAUGGCCAAGCAAAUUGUGUCCAUGAGUACAUGGGGACUUGUCAAGGCUUCACAACACAGUAUUUCCAGACGUUUGAUGGUCUCUUUGUGGACUUCGAAGACACUUGCACCUAUACUAUUGCAAAGUACUGUGGCAGUGAUCCUUUGCUUGUGCCAUUUUCAGUUGAAGCAAAGAACAGCAACAUGGACACCGAGGACUCCUCCAAGUUGCAGAUAACUCAUAUCAAAGUAUAUGGUCAUAACAUCACCGUAACAAAGGGAGAAGAUGUCCAACUUAUGUUGGAUGAUGUUGUGACCAGUAUUCCUGCAGCAUUGGAGGAUGGAAAAAUCAAAGUCACCAAAAGCAAUGAUCAGCCUGCUGUUGAGACAGAUUUUGGCCUUCAGGUGACACAUGGCAGGGAUGGGGCUAUAGUAGUGACUCUCCCUAGCAGUUACUUUGGAGCCACCUGUGGGCUCUGUGGGAAUUUCAAUGGGGAUACAAAUGAUGACAUGACUUCUCUUAAUGAUGUCCCAGCCUCUUCCCUCGUGGACUGGGUCAGCAGCUGGAAAGUCAAGGAUCAGGACCCUGCCUGCUCAGAUUCCUGCCAAGGAAACUGCUUGGCCUGUGAUGAUGGACAGAAGGAACUCUAUGGCGGUGAAAUGUAUUGUGGGGUUAUCAGCAAAUUUUCAGGAGGAUCUUUCGGAGAGUGUCGUCCAGCUGUGAGCCCUAACAGCUACUUCAAUGACUGCAUCAAUAGAAUGUGUUUAACCAAUGGAGACAGCAGUGAGCUUUGCCAGGUGAUGGAGGCAUAUGCUGCUGCCUGUGAAGAACAAGGUGUUGCCAUUGCUGACUGGAAAAUUAUAUCUGGCUGUGGGCCAGUUCAGCUUGAUCACCAGAGAAAUGAGACAUUCAUUGAAGCUCACAGCUGUCCUGAGAACAGCCACUACGAGGCCUGUGGAAAUGCAUGCCCAGCUACUUGCUCUGACCAGACUGCUCCCUCAACAUGUGACGAUACCUGUGUUGCCAUCUGCCAGUGCAAUGAGGGCUAUGUCCUCAAUGGCAAGACAUGCAUCCCCAUUGAGAACUGUGGCUGUACCUAUAACAACCUCCAUUACAAAGCUGGGGAAGAGUUCUGGGAGGAUGAGCACUGCCACGUCCGCUGCAAAUGUGAUGCCAGUCUGGGCAGAGUGACAUGUCAGAAGGCCAGUUGCAAAUCCAAUGAGAAGUGUGCCAUGGUUAAUGGUGUUCGUCGCUGCAAAGGAACGACUUAUUCCACUUGCAUAGGAACUGGUGAUCCUCACUACACUACCUUUGAUGGAAGGAAGUAUGACUUCCAGGGCACCUGCAUUUAUCAAAUGGCAGCAGUCUGUACCAAGGAUCCUGCCCUGACUCCAUUUUUGGUCACAGUAGAAAACAAUAACCGAGGCAGCAAGGCAGUGUCUUUCACCAAGGUGGUGACUUUGGAGGUCUAUGACAUGGUCAUCAGCCUGAGCCAGGAAUAUCCACGCAAAAUCCAGGUCAAUGGAGUCUUUGUAGACCUGCCAUUCUCUUAUGACAAUAAACUGAAGAUCUACAUAAGUGGGGUCCACGGCUUCAUUAAAACAGACUUUGAUCUGAGAGUCAGUUUUGACUGGUACAGCUAUGCCCGGGUCAUUAUUCCCAAUGCAUAUGCCAAUGCUAUGUGUGGACUCUGCGGCAAUGCCAACAUGAAUCCCAGUGAUGAUUUUACCAUGAAGGAUGGAACUCAAGCAGAGGAUGAAAUCCAAUUUGCAAACAACUGGAAGUUGAAGGAGGUUCCAGGAUGCUCAGAAGGAUGUACUAGUGACUGUCCAGUAUGCAAUGAGGCAGAGAAACAAACCUACAAGGGAGACCAGUUCUGUGGGAUCCUAAUCAGAAAAAAUGGGCCAUUCAGACAGUGUCAUCAGGCCAUUGAACCAACAUCCUAUUUCGAGGAUUGUGUCUUUGAUACCUGCACAUAUAAGGGUCACCAUGACACUCUCUGCAAUGCCAUCAGUGGCUAUGUGACAGCUUGCCAAGCUCAGGGCAUUCAGAUUGGACAGUGGAGAUCAUCUUCCUUUUGCAAUAUGCCCUGCCCACGUAAUUCGCACUAUGAACAGUGUGGAAAUGGUUGCCCUGCCACUUGCCAUGAUAGCUCAGCUCCAGAAACAUGUGAGGCUUCAUGUGUGGAAGGGUGUUUCUGUGACCCUGGAUUUCUCCUCAGUGGGGAUGACUGUGUCCCCCUUGCAGAGUGUGGCUGUGCCCACCAGGGCAGAUACUACAAAAAAGGAGAUGAAUUCUACCCCAACACUUCUUGCCAGGAGAAGUGCCAGUGCAAGGACAAUGGAGCUGUUGACUGCCAGACGUUCUCCUGUGGUGCUCAUGAGGAGUGCAGGGUUGAAAAUGGCAUACAGGGCUGCCACCCCGUUGGAUAUAGAAUAGCAGUAUUAUCUGGUGACAUUCAUUAUAUUUCCUUUGAUGGUCAAAGUCUUGAUUUCCAAGGCUCUUGCACCUAUACCUUAGCCAAAGUCUGUAGUGAAGAUCCUCGAUUAGUGAAAUUCUCUGUGGUGGUGGAGAAAGAGAAACCUGACGAUGGGCACUCACCUAUAACAAGAACAGUUAUGAUCUCUGUCCAUGGCUACUCUAUUGCCAUUGAAAGGGGGAUGAAAUGGAAGGCUAUGGUCGACGGAGAACUCCACACUUUGCCAAUGAAUACAGUGGAUGGGAAACUCUGGAUCACACAAGAGGGGAACAAUAUCAUUCUCCAUUCAUCUUUUGGCCUCAUUGUCCUUUAUGAUACUUCUUCAUAUGUCAGUGUGUCUGUCCCUAGCACCUACCAGGGACACAUGUGUGGACUUGGUGGCAACUUCAAUGGGGAUAAGAGUGAUGACUUCAUGCUACCCAAUGGAGAACUCACUAAAAGUGUGGAGGAACUUGGGACCUCCUGGAAAGUCCCUGUAGAUGGUGCAAUUUGUUCUGACACCUGUGGAGAUAGAUGCCCCACCUGCAACACAGCACAGGCAGUUCCAUUUAGGGCUGAAAAUGCAUGUGGAAUGAUCCAGUCUGAGACAGGUCCAUUCAGAGAUUGUCACCCAUUGGUGAGCCCUGAUGACUACUUGAGACAUUGCCUGUUUGACAUGUGUGUCUCCAGUGGAGCAGAGGAAACCCUAUGUCAUAGCCUUCAAGCCUAUGCAGCUGCAUGCCAACUGGCUGGAGUCAAUAUUGGAGCAUGGAGAACACCCUCCUUCUGCUCCCUCUCCUGCCCAGUCAACAGCCAUUAUGAAUUAUGCACAAGAUCCUGUGAUUUUACAUGUGCUGCCUUAUCUGCUCCAUCUCAAUGUACUGGAAAAUGCUUUGAAGGCUGCCAGUGCGACACUGGCUAUGUGUUUGAUGGAGAGGAAUGUGUGUCCAUGGACAACUGUGGCUGUGCUUAUGACGGACACUACAUCAAGGCUGGAGAGGCCAUCAUCUCCAGUGACUGCUCAGAGAAAUGCACAUGUCGCCCCUCAGGCCAACUCACUUGUGAAAAAACCAGCUGCGCUGUGGGAGAGACCUGUGCACUUAUAGCUAAGACACGUGGCUGUGUAAGACAAGAAGGCCACUGCACGCUCACACCAGGAGCCUGGUUCACGUCUUUUGAUGGUGCCAAAGGAAAAUUCCUCUCUAAUGGUGUCUACAAGUUGGCCUCCUACUGUGAUGAGAUGUCGCCAUCCUGGUUUAAGGUUGUGGUAGAUAUCAAUGAAUGCAAUAAUGAAGCUGUGCCAGCAGUUGCAGCUGUCUAUGUCUUUUUCCGGGAAGCGUUCAUCACAGUGACAAGCCACAAGGAGACCUGGGUCAACGGACUCUUGGUCCAGCUCCCACUGAACAUCUCCAAAGCAGUGUCCCUCACUGAGUCUCAGGACACGGUUAUCAUUGAUCAAAAUUCCAAGAUGCAAGUUCUUUUCAGUCCCAAUGGUAAAGUGACAGUGAAAGUCACCAAUAGCCUGGCAGGAAAGAUGUGUGCGCCUUGUGGAAACUUCAACAAUGAUAUCUCAGAUGACCUAAGGCUGCCAAGUGGUCAGAUUGCUAGUGGGAUUGCUGAGGUCAUUAAUGCCUGGAAGGCAAGGGACUUCUUCGAUUGGUGCGGUGGAAGACACUGUCCCAAUAACAGUGUUGAAGAAAGUGCCAACAACCACUCCAGUCAUCUUUUGUAUAUGGAAUGGGAGAGAUCACUCUCUUGUUCUUCACCUCAGACAGCAACAUUUCAUGGGCCAGCUAUGUGCACUCUGCUCCCUUUACUAUUCAUAGCUGGGUUGAAUCACUUUGUGCCCACUUCCUUUAUGUAUUAAGCAGCUACAACAAUUUUUCUUAUCCCCCUCCUCAUAUUUUCCAACUGGAAAACAACACUACAAAGUCUCAAAUACACCAGUACCUCAAGAGGCCACCACAUGUAGCACAUACCUUGAGAACCAGUAUUACAUGUCAUUUCUCCUCUGUUCACCUCCACAGUUAUUGAUACCCAGAGGACAAGAUGCUACUCAGUGUCAUGCGUUAUCUAAAAAUCCAGUCUGGAAUCAUGCACUGGACCACACAAUGCUGCAAGUGUUUCUCCCUCCUUUAAUCACUCCACAGUCCAUCAUUCCACUGUAUCAGAUCAUAGAUAUUGUGACAGCCAAGAAUGGAACCGCCAUAUGUAGAAGCAGUGUACUUGAGCUUCCAGACAAUUGUGAGGAUGGUUGUCAUCUUAUUGCUCUGCCUGUGGACUUCUCACAGGCAACUGGAAGUUCUCCAUGGGAGUUCAUUUAUUCGAAUACAUGUACCUUUGGUCUGAUGAAGCAGUAUCCUAGGAUGUUAAACUGAAUUUUGAUGGGAGUUUACAUCUAAACCUUUGGCAAUUUGUGGUUUUCUAGCACACUGGCAAAUCAGAAUGUCUAAAAGCUAUUGCUUCCAACACAAAGUAUUGUAAAUUAUUAAUGAAGAAAUAAAUGCUUAGACCACC